UACGGAGGGGGCUAGCGUUGUUCGGAAUUACUGGGCGUAAAGCGCGCGUAGGCGGUCCUGCAAGUCGGGUGUGAAAGCCCGAGGCUCAACCUCGGAACUGCCUUCGAUACUGCGGGUCUCGAGUCCGGGAGAGGUGAGUGGAAUUCCUAGUGUAGAGGUGAAAUUCGUAGAUAUUCGGAAGAACACCAGUGGCGAAGGCGACUCGCUGGACAAGUAUUGACGCUGAGGUGCGAAAGCGUGGGGAGCAAACAGG
rnacentral:rRNA from 1 species